rnacentral:other from 16 species
GUUCACUGCCGCACAGGCAGUUUAGAAA